rnacentral:rRNA from 1 species
GACGAACGCUGGCGGCGUGCUUAACACAUGCAAGUCGAACGGUAAGGCCCUUCGGGGUACACGAGUGGCGAACGGGUGAGUAACACGUGGGUGAUCUGCCCUGCACUUCGGGAUAAGCCUGGGAAACUGGGUCUAAUACCGGAUAGGACCACUGCCUGCAUGGGGGGUGGGGGAAAGCAUUUGCGGUGUGGGAUGGGCCCGCGGCCUAUCAGCUUGUUGGUGGGGUGAUGGCCUACCAAGGCGACGACGGGUAGCCGGCCUGAGAGGGUGACCGGCCACACUGGGACUGAGAUACGGCCCAGACUCCUACGGGAGGCAGCAGUGGGGAAUAUUGCACAAUGGGCGCAAGCCUGAUGCAGCGACGCCGCGUGAGGGAUGACGGCCUUCGGGUUGUAAACCUCUUUCAGCACCGACGAAGCGCAAGUGACGGUGGGUGCAGAAGAAGGACCGGCCAACUACGUGCCAGCAGCCGCGGUAA